GAUGAACGCUGGCGGCGUGCCUAAUACAUGCAAGUCGAGCGAACAGACGAGGAGCUUGCUCCUCUGACGUUAGCGGCGGACGGGUGAGUAACACGUGGAUAACCUACCUAUAAGACUGGGAUAACUUCGGGAAACCGGAGCUAAUACCGGAUAAUAUAUUGAACCGCAUGGUUCAUUAGUGAAAGACGGUUUUGCUGUCACUAAUAGAUGGAUCCGCGCCGCAUUAGCUAGUUGGUAAGGUAACGGCUUACCAAGGCAACGAUGCGUAGCCGACCUGAGAGGGUGAUCGGCCACACUGGAACUGAGACACGGUCCAGACUCCUACGGGAGGCAGCAGUAGGGAAUCUUCCGCAAUGGGCGAAAGCUUGACGGAGCAACGCCGCGUGAGUGAUGAAGGUCUUCGGAUCGUAAAGCUCUGUUAUUAGGGAAGAACAAAUGUGUAAGUAACUAUGCACGUCUUGACGGUACCUAAUCAGAAAGCCACGGCUAACUACGUG
rnacentral:rRNA from 1 species